rnacentral:rRNA from 1 species
GACGAACGCUGGCGGUGUGCUUAACACAUGCAAGUCGAACGGAAAGGCCCUGCUUUUGUGGGGUGCUCGAGUGGCGAACGGGUGAGUAACACGUGAGUAACCUGCCCUUGACUUUGGGAUAACUUCAGUAAACUGGGGCUAAUACCGGAUAGGAGCUCCUGCUGCAUGGUGGGGGUUGGAAAGUUUCGGCGGUUGGGGAUGGACUCGCAGCUUAUCAGCUUGUUGGUGGGGUAGUGGCUUACCAAGGCUUUGACGGGUAGCCGGCCUGAGAGGGUGACCGGCCACAUUGGGACUGAGAUACGGCCCAGACUCCUACGGGAGGCAGCAGUGGGGAAUAUUGCACAAUGGGCGGAAGCCUGAUGCAGCAACGCCGCGUGCGGGAUGACGGCCUUCGGGUUGUAAACCGCUUUCGCCUGUGACGAAGCGUGAGUGACGGUAAUGGGUAAAGAAGCACCGGCUAACUACGUG